GUCCAUGACCACACCACUCUGAACGAAGCCAAUCUCAUCUGAUCUCGGAAGCUAAGCAAGGCCGGGCCAACUUAGUCCUUAGAUGGGGAAUCCCAGAAGAUAAGUAAUAAAGCUGGGAAGUGGUAUGAACC
rnacentral:rRNA from 1 species